ACGGGUGAGUAACACGUGGGCAACCUGCCCUUGAGACUGGGAUAACUUCGGGAAACCGGAGCUAAUACCGGAUAAUAUAAGGAACCUCCUGGUUCCUUGUUGAAAGAUGGUUUCGGCUAUCACUUAAGGAUGGGCCCGCGGCGCAUUAGCUAGUUGGUGAGGUAACGGCUCACCAAGGCGACGAUGCGUAGCCGACCUGAGAGGGUGAUCGGCCACACUGGGACUGAGACACGGCCCAUACUCCUACGGGAGGCAGCAGUAGGGAAUCUUCCACAAUGGACGAAAGUCUGAUGGAGCAACGCCGCGUGAGUGAUGAAGGCCUUCGGGUCGUAAAGCUCUGUUGUUAGGGAAGAACAAGUGCGAUAGUAACUGCUCGCACCUUGACGGUACCUAACCAGAAAGCCACGGCUAACUACGUGCCAGCAGCCGCGGUAAUACGUAUGUGGCAAGCGUUAUCCGGAAUUAUUGGGCGUAAAGCGCGCGCAGGUGGUUUCUUAAGUCUGAUGUGAAAGCCCACGGCUCAACCGUGGAGGGUCAUUGGAAACUGGGGAACUUGAGCGCAGAAGACGAAAGUG
rnacentral:rRNA from 1 species